UCGCUGAUGCUUACCAACCUAUAGCCUAACUAUAGUUAAUCGGUUGCCAUGGCGAUAAACAAUCUUUCUCAUUAUAUGAGCAGUAAUUUGUUAUUUAGUACUAAGGUACCUUGCUCAGUUGCGUCAGUUCUUUGCGGUUGCUUUGUAAGCUCGCACAGUUUUAUACCGAUUUGAAAAGUUUACCAUUCGCGAUGAACGAAAAGAAUGGUAUUGGAGAGUUUUAUUUAGAUGAUCUGUCAGAUUGUCCUGACAGUUAUUCAAGAAGUAAUAGUGGUGACGAAAGUGAUGGCAGUGAUACAAUUAUUCGGAAGCGAGGUUCUGUAUUGCCACCAAGAUAUAGUGAUUCAGAAGAUGAUGAGAUAAGUAACGUCGAAGACAAUGUAAAUAACGUUGAAAAUAACGAUGAUAUAUGGUCGACGAACGACGAAGCAAUAAUUUUGGAACCUUUUGAAGGUAGCCCCGGCAUCAAAAUUAUGCCAAGUUCGCCAGAAAGUGUGACGGACAAUGUCAAUUUAUUUUUUGGAAAUGACUUUUUCGAGCACUUGGUGAGGGAAUCCAACAGAUAUCAUUAUCAGGUUAUGGAAAAAUAUAAAAUUCCAUCAAAAGCGAAAAAAUGGACAGAUAUAACGGUACCGGAAAUGAGGAAGUUUUUAGGGCUAAUAGUUCUAAUGGGACAAAUAAAAAAGGACGUUCUUUACGACUAUUGGUCCACUGAUCCAAGUAUAGAAACUCCGUUUUUCUCACAAGUAAUGAGCAGGAACAGAUUUGUGCAAAUAAUGCAGAGCUGGCAUUUUUGCAACAAUGACAACAUUCCUCACGAUUCACAUAGGCUUGCUAAAAUCCAGCCUAUUAUUGAUUAUUUUAGGCGAAAAUUUAACGAUGUAUAUAAACCCCGUCAACAAUUAUCUUUGGAUGAGUCUAUAAUCCCGUGGAGAGGUAGGCUAUCCAUUAAAACGUAUAAUCCCGCAAAAAUUACAAAAUACGGAAUACUUGUGAGAGUGCUGUGUGAAGCUGUCACAGGAUACAUAUGUAACUUUGAUGUGUAUGCUGCUGAUGGCAAAAAAUUAGAAGAUACUGCGGUUAUUGAACCGUAUAAGAACAUAUGGCACCAGAUUUAUCAAAAUAAUUACUAUAACAGUGUAAAAAUGGCUAGAAUUCUCUUGAAAAAUAAAGUGCGAGUGUGCGGAACCAUUCGAAAAAAUAUAGGUUUUCCUCGAUCACUCAAAACAAUACAACUUUCAAGAGGUCAGUACGAAUUUCGUAGGAAUCAUCAAAUUUUGUUAGAAGUAUGGAAUAAUGGCAGAAGAAAUGUCAAUAUGAUCUCAACUAUACAUUCUGCACAAUUAACGGAAUCCAGAAGCAAAAGUAAAAGAUCAGACGUCCCAAUACAAAAGCCUAAUUCAAUCAUAGAUUAUAAUAAAUAUAUGAAGGGUGUAGAUCGCGCGGAUCAAUAUCUAACAUAUUAUUCCAUUUUUAGAAAAACAAAAAAAUGGACUAAACGGGUUGUAAUGUUUUUUAUCAACUGUGCACUUUUUAAUUCAUUUAAAGUAUACACAAUUCUAAACGGAAAAAAUAUUACGUACAAGAAUUUCUUGCACAAAGUCGCAGUUUCAUGGAUAGAAGAUGGUGAAACUAAUUGUACGGAGCAAGAUGACAAUCUACCUAAUUCUGAACCCACAAGGAGAGCACCCAGAUUAGACCAUCCCGGAAGACUGUCGAAUUAUGGAAAACAUAAACUUAUAAAUAUAGUAACCAGCGGUCGAAGUUUAAAACCCCAAAGACAAUGCAGAGUUUGUGCAGUACAAAAAAAAAGAAGCAGAACAUGUUUUGUUUGUAAAUUUUGCAAUGUUCCGCUGCAUAAAGGCGACUGUUUCGAACGAUAUCAUACUUUAAAAAAAUAUUAAACUAUUUCACAUUUGAACUAAAAACUGUUGUAAUAGAUAAAAUAAAUACAAUUUAGUAUUAAUAUAAUGAAAACAAAAAAUUUUAUUCAAUUUAAUUAUCCUAUAGUAACAGAAAGCGGUCAAUUUUAUCUGAGCGUAAGAAAAGCACAGAUAUUCCCGCCCGACAGUCUAAACCGAAACAGAGCCGGCGCUAGGGAGAAUCUGCGUCUGAGCUGCCGGUCGGACGUGCGUAUGCUGUUGAACCGCUAGUGGUCAAUCAACCAGAACCAGUAAGUAAACCAGUAACCGAGUCAAUAGUCACCCAUAGUCAACCAAAUAAAUUUAUUUGGAAAGCUUUUUAAUUUUUAAUUAUUUUAUUAUGAACGAAAUAAAAUUGUUUCUAACCAUUUCGAUUAACAUUUAAAAAGUCAUAUUUUAUAACCUUUUUAACUUAAUAAGAAAUAUAUAGAAAUUAUAUAUAAUUAAAUAUAUAUAUCCCAUAUUUAGUAUUAAUUAAAUGAUUUAUUAAUGUCAU